rnacentral:rRNA from 1 species
UACAGAGGGUGCUAGCGUUAAUCGGAAUUACUGGGCGUAAAGGGCGCGUAGGCGGUUGUUUAAGUUUGAUGUGAAAGCCCCGGGCUUAACCUGGGAACUGCAUUGAAUACUGGGCGACUAGAGUACUGUAGAGGGUAGUGGAAUUUCCGGUGUAGCGGUGAAAUGCGAAGAGAUCGGAAGGAACACCAGUGGCGAAGGCGGCUACCUGGACAGAUACUGACGCUGAGGCGCGAGAGCGUGGGGAGCAAACAGG